CUUCACGACGCUCUUCCGUUCUGGUGACAAUGAAGGUUUGGGAUCAGCUACGGAUUUAAUUGAAUGAUGGAUCCUUUUACUUGUUGCUUUAGAUCAUCAAGAAUUCGCUGUAUCUAAAGUCUGCCAACC